AGCAGCCGCGGUAAUUCCAGCUCCAAUAGCGUAUAUUAAAGUUGUUGCAGUUAAAAAGCUCGUAGUUGAAUUUUGGGUUUGGCCGAUUGGUCCGUUCUUGUAACGAGUACUGGUCGGUUGGGCCUCACCGCUUGGUGAUGCGUAAUGCCCUUUAUUGGGUGUUGCGAGUAGCCAAGACCUUUACCUUGAAAAAUUAGAGUGUUUAAAGCAGGCAUAUGCCGGAAUACAUUAGCAUGGAAUAAUAGAAUAGGACAACGAUUCUAUUUUGUUGGUUUCUAGGACCGUUGUAAUGAUUAAUAGGGAUAGUUGGGGGCAUUAGUAUUCAAUUGUCAGAGGUGAAAUUCUUGGAUUUAUUGAAGACUAACUACUGCGAAAGCAUUUGCCAAGGAUGUUUUCAUUAAUCAAGAACGAAAGUUAGGGGAUCGAAGACGAUCAGAUACCGUCGUAGUCUUAACCAUAAACUAUGCCGACUAGGGAUCGGGCGAAGUUGUUCAAUGACUCGCUCGGCACCUUAUGGGAA
rnacentral:rRNA from 1 species